rnacentral:rRNA from 1 species
GAUGAACGCUGGCGGCGUGCCUAAUACAUGCAAGUCGAGCGAACGGACGAGAAGCUUGCUUCUCUGAUGUUAGCGGCGGACGGGUGAGUAACACGUGGAUAACCUACCUAUAAGACUGGGAUAACUUCGGGAAACCGGAGCUAAUACCGGAUAAUAUUUUGAACCGCAUGGUUCAAAAGUGAAAGACGGUCUUGCUGUCACUUAUAGAUGGAUCCGCGCUGCAUUAGCUAGUUGGUAAGGUAACGGCUUACCAAGGCAACGAUGCAUAGCCGACCUGAGAGGGUGAUCGACCACACUAGAACUGAGACACGGUCCAGACUCCUACGGGAGGCAGCAGUAGGGAAUCUUCCGCAAUGGGCGAAAGCCUGACGGAGCAACGCCGCGUGAGUGAUGAAGGUCUUCGGAUCGUAAAACUCUGUUAUUAGGGAAGAACAUAUGUGUAAGUAACUGUGCACAUCUUGACGGUACCUAAUCAGAAAGCCACGGCUAACUACGUGCCAGCAGCCGCGGUAAUACGUAGGUGGCAAGCGUUAUCCGGAAUUAUUGGGCGUAAAGCGCGCGUAGGCGGUUUUUUAAGUCUGAUGUGAAAGCCCACGGCUCAACCGUGGAGGGUCAUUGGAAACUGGAAAACUUGAGUGCAGAAGAGGAAAGUGGAAUUCCAUGUGUAGCGGUGAAAUGCGCAGAGAUAUGGAGGAACACCAGUGGCGAAGGCGACUUUCUGGUCUGUAACUGACGCUGAUGUGCGAAAGCGUGGGGAUCAAACAGGAUUAGAUACCCUGGUAGUCCACGCCGUAAACGAUGAGUGCUAAGUGUUAGGGGGUUUCCGCCCCUUAGCGCUGCAGCUAACGCAUUAAGCACUCCGCCUGGGGAGUACGACCGCAAGGUUGAAACUCAAAGGAAUUGACGGGGACCCGCACAAGCGGUGGAGCAUGUGGUUUAAUUCGAAGCAACGCGAAGAACCUUACCAAAUCUUGACAUCCUUUGACAACUCUAGAGAUAGAGCCUUCCCCUUCGGGGGACAAAGUGACAGGUGGUGCAUGGUUGUCGUCAGCUCGUGUCGUGAGGUGUUGGGUUAAGUCCCGCAACGAGCGCAACCCUUAAGCUUAGUUGCCAUCAUUAAGUUGGGCACUCUAAGUUGACUGCCGGUGACAAACCGGAGGAAGGUGGGGAUGACGUCAAAUCAUCAUGCCCCUUAAGAUUUGGGCUACACACGUGCUACAAUGGACAAUACAAAGGGCAGCGAAACCGCGAGGUCAAGCAAAUCCCAUAAAGUUGUUCUCAGUUCGGAUUGUAGUCUGCAACUCGACUACAUGAAGCUGGAAUCGCUAGUAAUCGUAGAUCAGCAUGCUACGGUGAAUACGUUCCCGGGUCU